GGCAUGGCGCAGCUACACAUGCAGUCGAGCGGAUGACAGGAGCUUGCUCCUGGAUUCAGCGGCGGACGGGUGAGUAAUGCCUAGGAAUCUGCCUGGUAGUGGGGGACAACGUUUCGAAAGGAACGCUAAUACCGCAUACGUCCUACGGGAGAAAGCAGGGGACCUUCGGGCCUUGCGCUAUCAGAUGAGCCUAGGUCGGAUUAGCUAGUUGGUGAGGUAAUGGCUCACCAAGGCGACGAUCCGUAACUGGUCUGAGAGGAUGAUCAGUCACACUGGAACUGAGACACGGUCCAGACUCCUACGGGAGGCAGCAGUGGGGAAUAUUGGACAAUGGGCGAAAGCCUGAUCCAGCCAUGCCGCGUGUGUGAAGAAGGUCUUCGGAUUGUAAAGCACUUUAAGUUGGGAGGAAGGGCAGUAAAUUAAUACUUUGCUGUUUUGACGUUACCGACAGAAUAAGCACCGGCUAACUCUGUGCCAGCAGCCGCGGUAAUACAGAGGGUGCAAGCGUUAAUCGGAAUUACUGGGCGUAAAGCGCGCGUAGGUGGUUUGUUAAGUUGGAUGUGAAAGCCCCGGGCUCAACCUGGGAACUGCAUUCAAAACUGACAAGCUAGAGUAUGGUAGAGGGUGGUGGAAUUUCCUGUGUAGCGGUGAAAUGCGUAGAUAUAGGAAGGAACACCAGUGGCGAAGGCGACCACCUGGACUGAUACUGACACUGAGGUGCGAAAGCGUGGGGAGCAAACAGGAUAAACC
rnacentral:rRNA from 1 species